GGGGAAUUUUGCGCAAUGGGCGAAAGCCUGACGCAGCAACGCCGCGUGAGUGAUGAAGGCCUUCGGGUCGUAAAGCUCUGUCAGAGGGGAAGAACCUCCUGUCGGUUAAUACCCGGCAGGCCUGACGGUACCCCCAAAGGAAGCACCGGCUAACUCCGUGCCAGCAGCCGCGGUAAUACGGAAGGGGCAAGCGUUGUUCGGAAUUAUUGGGCGUAAAGGGCGCGCAGGCGGUCUCAUAUGUCUGCUGUGAAAUCACACGGCUCAACCGUGUUCAGCCGCAGAAACUGUGGGACUUGAGGCUGGGAGGGGCUGGUGGAAUUCCCCGUGUAGCGGUGAAAUGCGUAGAGAUGGGGGAGAACACUCGUGGCGAAGGCGGCCAGCUGGACCAGUUCUGACGCUGAGGCGCGAAAGCGUGGGGAGCAA
rnacentral:rRNA from 1 species